GACGAACGCUGGCGGCGUGCUUAACACAUGCAAGUCGAACGGUAAGGCCCUUCGGGGUACACGAGUGGCGAACGGGUGAGUAACACGUGGGUGAUCUGCCCUGCACUUCGGGAUAAGCCUGGGAAACUGGGUCUAAUACCGGAUAGGACUCCUGGCUUCAUGGUUGGGGGUGGAAAGCUUUUGCGGUGUGGGAUGGGCCCGGGGCCUAUCAGCUUGUUGGGGGGGUAAUGGCCUACCAAGGCGACGACGGGUAGCCGGCCUGAGAGGGUGACCGGUCACACUGGGACUGAGAUACGGCCCAGACUCCUACGGGAGGCAGCAGUGGGGAAUAUUGCACAAUGGGCGCAAGCCUGAUGCAGCGACGCCGCGUGAGGGAUGACGGCCUUCGGGUUGUAAACCUCUUUCAGCUAUGACGAAGCGCAAGUGACGGUAGUAGCAGAAGAAGGACCGGCCAACUACGUGCCAGCAGCCGCCGUAA
rnacentral:rRNA from 1 species